AAAUUGAAGAGUUUGAUCAUGGCUCAGAUUGAACGCUGGCGGCAGGCCUAACACAUGCAAGUCGAACGGUAACAGGAAGCAGCUUGCUGCUUUGCUGACGAGUGGCGGACGGGUGAGUAAUGUCUGGGAAACUGCCUGAUGGAGGGGGAUAACUACUGGAAACGGUGGCUAAUACCGCAUAACGUCGCAAGACCAAAGAGGGGGACCUUCGGGCCUCUUGCCAUCAGAUGUGC
rnacentral:rRNA from 6 species